rnacentral:rRNA from 1 species
UACGUAGGGCGCAAGCGUUGUCCGGAAUUAUUGGGCGUAAAGAGCUCGUAGGGGGUUUGUUACGUCUGCUGUGAAAACCUAGGGCUUAACCCUGGGCCUGCAGUGGAUACGGGCAGACUAGAGGUAGGUAGGGGAGAAUGGAAUUCCCGGUGUAGCGGUGAAAUGCGCAGAUAUCGGGAGGAACACCGGUGGCGAAGGCGGCGAUCUGGCCCAACAUUGACACUGAGACCCGAAAGCGUGGGGAUCAAACAGG